rnacentral:rRNA from 1 species
AGAGUUUGAUUAUGGCUCAGGACGAACGCUGGCGGCGCGCCUAACACAUGCAAGUCGAACGAGCGAGAGAGAGCUUGCUUUCUCGAGCGAGUGGCGAACGGGUGAGUAACGCGUGAGGAACCUGCCUCAAAGAGGGGGACAACAGUUGGAAACGACUGCUAAUACCGCAUAAGCCCACGGUGCCGCAUGGCACAGAGGGAAAAGGAGCAAUCCGCUUUGAGAUGGCCUCGCGUCCGAUUAGCUAGUUGGUGAGGUAACGGCCCACCAAGGCGACGAUCGGUAGCCGGACUGAGAGGUUGAACGGCCACAUUGGGACUGAGACACGGCCCAG